rnacentral:lncRNA from 10 species
CUUCGCCCCGUCCCGUCCGCGCAGCGCGUCCGGCCCGCCCGCAGGCCAGCUUCUCUCGGGAGCCCCCACCCAGGCGCAUGGCUCCAUGAAGCAAGAGGAGGAGGCAGAGCGCGAGAGGUCCCGUCCGCCCCAGCCGCGUCUGGGCCAGGAUAAAAGCAAAACCAUAUUCCUGCUGCUGUCAGUUAUGAUGCACUGAGAAAACUUCAGAGACCUAAACUUUUUCCAGAGAAGAGAAGCUUUACUGGUGUUCCAGCCCUAAGCAACCAUCUUUCCUGUGAAAAAUUCCCUCUCGUACUUUAGUUCUGUGGAUCCAAAAUUUAUAGCAUUCUUCUACCACCACAGGGGCUCAUAUGACAUUAACAGACAAGACACUUUUCAGAAAGACAGGUUGUUCUUUUGGGCCACAUCUAAGAAAUCUUUGUCUAGCCAAAAGCCACAAAUAAUUUCUCAUUUUUUGGCUUCUGGAAGAUGUACAGUUAAAUGUUAUAUUUGGGACUGUUAUCUAAUUUGAUUAAAUUGCACUCUACAAUAUGAUAUUUGAAUUGAUGAAAAAUUAGUAAAUGUUAAUAUUUUUUAAAGUA